rnacentral:siRNA from 1 species
AGGCCUGAUGUUGCUGUGGUGUGA